CAUCGCCAGGGGUCCAAGGUUAUGUCACUAGCCCCUUCCAGCCCCUGAAUGGAGCGGAGAUGCUAACAGAGGCAUCGCCUGAGUAUUGUGGUGUAACAUGGUGCUGCAGCCUUUUGUAAGGCUGCGGAGAGAAGCUGGCUGUUGCAGCACUUGACCUACAUGCCGGCCGCCUCCUCCGGUCCUCGGGUAACACACGGUGAACACUACAACAGGGGACGGGUUAGGUAACGCAGGAAUCCAUUCGAUAGAUCUUGGAAUGAGUAUUCUGGGCCGCAGGCUGCUAAAGGAUCCCUCAUCACCAGUAUGAGCUGUGCAAUGACUUCAUGAGAGCCUGCAGAACCUGAGGCCGGCCACCAGACAUUCCAGGUCAUUCACUGAUUCCUAGAAGCCGAUUGCCGCGAGUGCUGCUGCUCAUGAUUCCAGUAUGAGACGAAUGCCUUCACACAAGCCUAUCAGUAACAUGUUGACUGUUAAUUUACCAGACACAUCAUCGCAUAGUCGACUUUACAGUAAAAUAGUUCAGAUGGGCCCUAAUCCAUGCUCAACGAACAUGUAUUGUGCUUUCAUGUUUGUGGUUUUUGCCAUUAGGCUGCCAGUAAUGUUUGCAUCUUGAUAAUCUUGAUACGUCAUAUUGUAAUCAAAAGCCCUUAAUAAUCAUCUUGUUAAACAUGCUUAGUGUGCAUUUCUGCAAUAAAUAGUGGCACAGUUUAAGAUGAGUUUAUGCAAACCACAUAUAGGUGACUAUAGAUUGCAGUAUAGAUGUUACAACCCCUUAUUUUAGAUUCAUAACAAUUAUAUUGUUAUUUUUUUUCAACACACAUGAAGGAAAAUAACAUGCACAUCUAUUCCUCAAGGUAAGUAAACAACUUCUAAGUAUUAAUUCUGCGUGAGUUAUGUUCCGACCAAGGCUAAAUUUAGGAGCCUCUUCAGGAAAGUGUUAUUGAGUCUGAAUGUCUUGAGUCUGAAUGCCUUGGCCACCUGCCACUGCCCUGGUUUCUAUCACCUGGCAAAGCGAUGGUCAGCUUAAAAUAUCAAAACAUCCAGUGAUACAACAUUCUGGUAUCAACAUUCUGGUAUUUUGUACCAUCUAUUAGUUGAAUUGGCUUCUCGAUUCCGUCCUUAGAAAAUUACACUAAAAUGAUUAUGUAAGUGGCUAUAAAGUAUUGGCUAUAAACCUGGAAAAACCUAAA